AAACUUAGGAUAAACAUAAACCAAGGGCCUUCAAAGCCCUAAACAAGAGCACUAAUCUCUUAGCUUCUGCCU
rnacentral:tRNA from 1 species